GAUGAACGCUGGCGGCGUGCCUAACACAUGCAAGUCGAACGGAGAUUCCGGACGGAAGUUUUCGGAUGGAAGACUGUAAUUCUUAGUGGCGGACGGGUGAGUAACGCGUGGGCAACCUGCCCUAUACAGGGGGAUAGCAGCUGGAAACGGCUGGUAAGACCGCAUAAGUCGGUUAAAUCGCAUGAUUUGAUCGGGAAAUGAGCAAUCAGGUAUAGGAUGGGCCCGCGUCCGAUUAGCCAGUUGGCAGGGUAAAAGCCUACCAAAGCGACGAUCGGUAGCCGGACUGAGAGGUCGGACGGCCACAUUGGGACUGAGACACGGCCCAAACUCCUACGGGAGGCAGCAGUGGGGGAUAUUGCACAAUGGAGGAAACUCUGAUGCAGCGACGCCGCGUGAGUGAAGAAGUAUUUCGGUAUGUAAAGCUCUAUCAGCAGGGAAGAUGAUGACGGUACCUGACUAAGAAGCCCCGGCUAACUACGUG
rnacentral:rRNA from 1 species